ACAUAGAUGGUCGAGUGGUCUAAGGCACCUGAAUGAAGAUCAGGCGUAUGGGAGACUGUACCGAGAGUUCGAAUCUCUCUCUAUCCGC
rnacentral:tRNA from 1 species